rnacentral:snRNA from 1 species
GUGCUUGCUUUGGCAGCACAUAUACUUAAAUUGGAUCGAUAUACAGAAGAUCAGCACGGCCCCUGUGCAAGGAUGACACACAAACUCGUGAAACAUUCCAUAUUUAA